GACAGAGGGGGCAAGCGUUGCUCGGAAUCACUGGGCGUAAAGGGCGCGUAGGCGGGAUGGCAAGUCGGUCGUGAAAUCCUUCGGCUCAACCGAAGAACGUCGGCCGAUACUGCCGUUCUUGAGGGAUGCAGAGGAGAUUGGAAUUCCCGGUGUAGCGGUGAAAUGUGUAGAGAUCGGGAGGAACACCGGUGGCGAAGGCGGUUUCCUGGCCCAGUACUGACGCUGAGGCACGAAAGCGUGGGGAGCGAACGGG
rnacentral:rRNA from 1 species